GCUGAUCGGAGACUGGAGCCGGUGUGUGCUGGGCGGCUGGGAAGAGACCGAGCCGCCGGCCGUGGGGAGCGGACGUAGUGGCUUGCUCCCCUUACUCUCAGCAAGCCCCACACCCAGCAACCAGGAACCUGCGCCUCCCACAUCCUCACCUGGCUGAGCCGCAGUAGUUCUUCAGUGGCAAGCUUUAUGUCCUGACCCAGCUAAAGCUGCCAGUUGAAGAACUGUUGCCCUCUGCCCUUGGCUUCGAGGAGGAAGAGGAGGAGUCACAUCUUUCCUUAUCAUCUGGAAGGUGAUAGAACUGGAGCUGGGAAGGUCUGAACAGGCGGGGUAGUAGCUCAUUCUCCUCGGCUGGAGAAGCUUCACUCACAUUGGCCCAGCAAGAGAGAAGAUUUUGAUUAGAGACACUGGUUGAAUUGGGGAAUAGGUGGCUGUAGCUUACACAAGGUUAGUUGGUCUCUGUGUGGCAAUAGGAAGAAACAGAAGGAAAGUUUGUCUACCCUUUUCCCAGGUCUCCCCCUUGACCUUCCUUCCUUAUCUCCCAUUCUUCCCUGCAUUCCAGGUGAGGUCCGAAAAAGUGAGUCUACUCUCCAGGGAAAAGGUGGCACUGAGACUCCCGUCCAAGUAGUCCUCCCUGACUACUCUUACCUUUUCCCUGUCUUAGACUGCUGUAGAUUUUCAGCUUAUGGGUUCUUACCUGUUUGGGGUCCUUCUCCCUGUCUGUUUCUCCACAGAUGGAUAUGCAGGAGGGAAUCUAAAAAUCCACCUGUACUGACUCACACCUCUGUGGGUGUGAGCAGAGCAACUCUUCAUGUACGGUGUUCCUCAUACCCGAUUGUAGCCCUGAGGCUGGGGGCUCAGGGUUAGACCAAUGCUAGGAGCUAAUAGGUCAGUCCUACACAGAUUUCUCAUCAUGUAAGGGUGGCCCAAGGCUUUCUCCCCACCCACAUUAGGACUGUAGCCCCCAAUGGGGUUCUAGUGACCACUGCCAUUUGUGUUCUGGCUUUGCUUUUCAGGAUUGUGAGACUCAGCUCAGGACUGUGCAGGCUGGAAAUUGUCUCUUCUAGCAACCAGAGGAGAUAGGCUAUGGGAUGUGAGCCCCUUGUGGACAUAAGGCAGUAGAAACCUGCCACCCCAGGCUUUUGAUCCAUUCUUACUCUAGGGUUAGGCUUGGCUUAGAUGUGGGUCAAGCCUUGACCCAGACUCCCUAACAGAAAAUGGCCAAGUUCAGGAAGUUAUUUGUUCUAUCAGGUGGGUGGAGGUAUGCAGGGAGCUCUAUCUUACUCUCCAUUUCUGAGAAACUGAAAGACAAAGGGAAAAGUAGAUAGAUCAUUGAAUCCUGCUCUGCUUCAACCUAAGCUGAGGAUAGUAUGUAGGAGGAACUGUGACAGGGGGUGGAUAGGCUAUCUACUUAUACACU